rnacentral:rRNA from 1 species
UACGUAGGUGGCAAGCGUUGUCCGGAAUUAUUGGGCGUAAAGCGCGCGCAGGUGGUUUCUUAAGUCUGAUGUGAAAGCCCACGGCUCAACCGUGGAGGGUCAUUGGAAACUGGGGAACUUGAGUGCAGGAGAGAAGAGUGGAAUUCCACGUGUAGCGGUGAAAUGCGUAGAGAUGUGGAGGAACACCAGUGGCGAAGGCGACUCUUUGGCCUGUAACUGACACUGGGGCGCGAAAGCGUGGGGAGCAAACAGG